rnacentral:rRNA from 1 species
AGGCUUUGAUCCUGGCUCAGGAUGAACGCUGGCGGCGUGCCUAACACAUGCAAGUCGAGCGAUUCUCUUCGGAGAAGAGCGGCGGACGGGUGAGUAACGCGUGGGUAACCUACCCUGUACACACGGAUAACAUACCGAAAGGUAUGCUAAUACGGGAUAAUAUGCUUUUGUCGCAUGGCAGAAGUAUCAAAGCUCCGGCGGUACAGGAUGGACCCGCGUCUGAUUAGCUAGUUGGUGAGGUAAUGGCUCACCAAGGCGACGAUCAGUAGCCGACCUGAGAGGGUGAUCGGCCACAUUGGAACUGAGACACGGUCCAAACUCCUACGGGAGGCAGCAGUGGGGAAUAUUGCACAAUGGGCGAAAGCCUGAUGCAGCAACGCCGCGUGAGCGAUGAAGGCCUUCGGGUCGUAAAGCUCUGUCCUCAAGGAAGAUAAUGACGGUACUUGAGGAGGAAGCCCCGGCGUA